rnacentral:rRNA from 1 species
GAUGAACGCUGGCGGCGUGCCUAAUACAUGCAAGUCGAGCGAACAGACGAGGAGCUUGCUCCUCUGACGUUAGCGGCGGACGGGUGAGUAACACGUGGAUAACCUACCUAUAAGACUGGGAUAACUUCGGGAAACCGGAGCUAAUACCGGAUAAUAUAUUGAACCGCAUGGUUCAAUAGUGAAAGACGGUUUUGCUGUCACUUAUAGAUGGAUCCGCGCCGCAUUAGCUAGUUGGUAAGGUAACGGCUUACCAAGGCAACGGUGCGUAGCCGACCUGAGAGGGUGAUCGGCCACACUGGAACUGAGACACGGUCCAGACUCCUACGGGAGGCAGCAGUAGGGAAUCUUCCGCAAUGGGCGAGAGCCUGACGGAGCAACGCCGCGUGAGUGAUGAAGGUCUUCUGAUCGUAAAACUCUGUUAUUAGGGAAGAACAAAUGUGUAAGUAACUAUGCACGUCUUGACGGUACCUAAUCAGAAAGCCACGGCUAACUACGUG